rnacentral:rRNA from 1 species
GCGCAACCCUUGUCCUAGUUACCAGCACGUUAUGGUGGGCACUCUAAGGAGACUGCCGGUGGACAAACCGGAGGAAGGUGGGGGAUGACGUCAAGUCAUCAUGGCCCUUACGGCCUGGGCUACACACGUGCUACAAUGGUCGGUACAAAGGGUUGCCAAGCCGCGAGGUGGAGCUAAUACCCAUAAAACCGAUCGUAGUCCGGAUCGCAGUCUGCAACUCGACUGCGUGAAGUCGGAAUCGCUAGUAAUCGUGAAUCAGAAUGUCACGGUGAAUACGUUCCCGGGCCUU